UGGGGAAUAUUGCACAAUGGGGGGAACCCUGAUGCAGCGACGCCGCGUGAGUGAAGAAGUAUUUCGGUAUGUAAAGCUCUAUCAGCAGGAACGAAAAAAGACGGUACCUGAAUAAGAAGCCCCGGCUAACUACGUGCCAGCAGCCGCGGUAAUACGUAGGGGGCAAGCGUUAUCCGGAAUUACUGGGUGUAAAGGGAGCGUAGACGGCUGAGCAAGCCUGAAGUGAAAGGCGGGGGCCCAACCCCCGGACUGCUUUGGGAACUGCCUAGCUGGAGUGCAGGAGAGGUAAGUGGAAUUCCUAGUGUAGCGGUGAAAUGCGUAGAUAUUAGGAGGAACACCAGUGGCGAAGGCGGCUUACUGGACUGUAACUGACGUUGAGGCUCGAAAGCGUGGGGAGCAAACAGG
rnacentral:rRNA from 1 species